UACGGGGGGGGCAAGCGUUGUUCGGAAUUACUGGGCGUAAAGGGCUUGUAGGCGGCCCGCUAAGUCAGACGUGAAAUCCCUCAGCUUAACUGGGGAACUGCGUCUGAAACUGAUGAGCUCGAGUGCAGGAGAGGAACGCGGAAUUCCAGGUGUAGCGGUGAAAUGCGUAGAUAUCUGGAGGAACACCGGUGGCGAAGGCGGCGUGCUGGACUGCAACUGACACUGUAAAACGAAAGCCAGGGGAGCAAACGGG
rnacentral:rRNA from 1 species